UACGAAGGGGGCUAGCGUUGCUCGGAAUUACUGGGCGUAAAGCGCACGUAGGCGGAUUGUUAAGUCGGGGGUGAAAUCCUGGAGCUCAACUCCAGAACUGCCUUUGAUACUGGCGAGCUCGAGUGCGUGAGGGGUAACCGGAACGAGCAGUGUAGCGGUGAAAUGCGUAGAUAUUGCUCGGAAGGCCAACGGCGAAGGCAGGUUACUGGUGCGCAACUGACACUGAGGCACGAAAGCGUGGGGAGCAAACAGG
rnacentral:rRNA from 1 species